rnacentral:lncRNA from 1 species
GUGUAUAUAUGCGUGUGUGUGUGUAUAACAUCAGGUGGCUUUACUGGCUUGGAGGAAAAUAAAGCAGGAAGAGGACAGAGAGUAACUGAGGGGGAUGUUGUUUUAUACAGGGGUUGAAGGCAGCCUCACCAAUUGGUGACAUUUGGACAGAGACCUGGAGAAAGUGACAGUGUGAGUCUCCAGGCAAAGGGAACAGCCAGUGCAAAGGCCCUGGGUUGGGACUCUGGGCUAUCCAAGGAACAGCCGUGAUUGGAACAGAGUGAUCAGGUAAAUUCAGAGAAAUACAGGAGCCAGCUCACAUCAGCCCUUGUUCAUGCCAAGGACUUUGGAAUUUAUCUGGAGUCAACUAAGAAGCCAUUAUUGGAUUUUCAGCAGAGGAGUGAUAUGACAUGUGAGGAGGCGACUGCAAUCAUCCUGAGAAGAGAUGCUGGAGGCUGCGCUGGACUUUGGCUCAUGGGCCAACGUGUGACCAGGCACAAAGGAGAUGCUUAGUGAACACAUCUUGACAUGAACUAAAAGAUA